UUUAAAGGGCCGCGGUAAUUUGACCGUGCGAAGGUAGCAUAGUCAGUAGUCUUUUAAUUGAAGGCUUGAAUGAAUGGUUGGACGAAGGAUAAGCUGUCUCCUUUGCAAGAUUUGAAUUUAACUUUUGAGUGAAAAGGCUCAAAUUAUUUAGUGGGACGAUAAGACCCUAUAAAACUUAAUACAAGUUUAGCUUAAUUUGUGAUGUGUGUGUAAAGUAGUUUUGCUAUUAUUUGUGUUUCGUUGGGGAGAUGAAGAUAUAAAUUGUAACUGUCUAUUUAAUUUAAUAGAGUUAACUAGUGUUUGAUCCUUCUUUGUGGAUUAAAAGAAUAAGUUACUUUAGGGAUAACAGCGUAAUUUUCUUUGAGAGUUCUUAUCGACAAGAGUAGUUGCGACCUCGAUGUUGAAUUAAAAUUUUAGUUAGAUGUAGCCGUUUAACUGGUAGGUC
rnacentral:rRNA from 1 species